GAUGAACGCUGGCGGCGUGCCUAAUACAUGCAAGUCGAGCGAAUGGAUUGAGAGCUUGCUCUUAUGAAGUUAGCGGCGGACGGGUGAGUAACACGUGGGUAACCUGCCCAUAAGACUGGGAUAACUCCGGGAAACCGGGGCUAAUACCGGAUAACAUUUUGAACCGCAUGGUUCGAAAUUGAAAGGCGGCUUCGGCUGUCACUUAUGGAUGGACCCGCGUCGCAUUAGCUAGUUGGUGAGGUAACGGCUCACCAAGGCAACGAUGUGUAGCCGACCUGAGAGGGUGAUCGGCCACGCUGGGACUGAGACACGGCCCAGACUCCUACGGGAGGCAGCAGUAGGGAAUCUUCCGCAAUGGACGAAAGUCUUACGGAGCAACGCCGCGUGAGUGAUGAAGGCUUUCCGGUCGUAAAACUCUGUUGUUAGGGAAGAACAAGUGCUAGUUGAAUAAGCUGGCACCUUGACGGUAACUAACCAGAAAGCCACGGCUAACUACGUGCCAGCAGCCGCCGUAA
rnacentral:rRNA from 1 species